rnacentral:tRNA from 1 species
GGCCCCAUCGUCUAGUGGUUAGGACGCCAGGUUUUCAUCCUGGUAGCCGGGGUUCGACUCCCCGUGGGGUCA